rnacentral:tRNA from 1 species
GUCGGAGUGGCGGAAUUGGUAGACGCGCUAGGUUGAGGGCCUAGUGGGCGCAAGCCCGUGGAGGUUCGAGUCCUCUCUCCGACA